rnacentral:lncRNA from 1 species
CAAUUGUACGGUGGAUGAUAUUCCCUUCGUCAUUAAUUCUUGGGUACCAUGUGUUUUCGUCAGAGUCAUGUUGGCAAAUAUUGUUGGGGUAAAAUCACACAAAUUGCUCAGUUGACUGGGUUUAGGACAUAAAGACUUUUGACACAUAUUGAAAGUUCUUUUAAAACUUGUGGUCUUAAACAUGUUAUGACAUUUCUACGGUUAUAAGAACAUGUCAUUAUUGGUAAAUUGGAAAUUUGAAGUUAAGUUUUCCAAAAUAUCCAAUAUCAUCCUUUUUGGAAGACUAAAAAAGAAAAAGUGUUGUAUAAAUUGGAACAGAGGUGUAACCAUUUUUUUAUAUGAAGAAUGGAACAGAGGGAGUAAUAAAAUUUGGUUUUGGCAGCUAUACAUUUGGAAAAAGAAUAAACUCUCUUGUACGUCCAGUAUAUGUGGACUUGAUAUUGGAUAACUAUAUUUAUUACACCAUGUAAGUGCUUACCAUGAUUUUACCUCAUUUGACUUGGAUAUCCUUUUCUAUUGCUAUUUACCUUAUUCUAGAGAGGGCAUAAAUGUAUAUUAUAGCUUGGAUUUCUACGAGCGUAUAUUAGAGGAACAUUAGAAGGAUUGAGCAAUUAGACUAGGUUGAGAAGUGGACUAAAUUUGGGUAGCCAAUUGUAAAACCACUUUUAAACCCCGCUUUUUUUGGCCCAAUUGCUUUUAGCCCUUUUCAUGUCGACAUGUUUUCAAUCUGCUAGAUUUGGCCAAAUCAUCAAAUCAUUGUUCCUUUCUGCCUCCAAGGAAGCACGUCUUAAAAAAUAUUCAACAAUAACCUUGAUUUUUGGUGCUGUCAAAGUCCUAAUCUAACUCUUGCAUGAGUUUUUGGCUUUAUAUAUUUAUUAUGUAACAUUUCCUUCUAGUGCCGACUGGUAUUCAGGAAAGCUCGGGCUAGUUCCUUUAAAGAGGUCUUAUAUUUAUCUUGUUCGGUCUUAUUCAGAUCGUGGAUUUGAAUCCAAGUAAUGUGCAGUUCAGUUCUCCAAUUUUAAAUUGGUCUGAAUUCCUAGGUGACGCUUAAAAGCCUUCCAUAUAAGCAAAUAAGCAGUCCUGCACUGGUACUCUUGUACACUUUGUUGUUCUGCUGAAUACUCAAGUAAUCUGUUUUAUGGUUGCAAUUAGUCAAGCAUAUCUUUACUGUUUACAGGUUAAACACACUAUUUGGUAAUACCCAACUUGAAUUUUAAGAAGGAAUAAUAUACGAGGAGUUGAUGUAUGCUCUUUUAUAUGCUACAAAGAUACAUUACGCCUUCCCUCCUUUGUUUGGAUUUGGAGGUAGAUGGGGAUGGAGGGGAAGGAAACAAAUAGGGGGGUAGAUAAGUUCAUGGAUAGAUGAGUGCUUGUUAUUACUGCCCCAAGCGGUUGUAGCUAUGCACUAAUUAGUUUACUGAUUUCUGCAGUACUCAAUGGAGCAAAGUAUCAGCAUUGUCACUCCAUUACUUUAUUAUUUCUCAAUUUCUUUGCUGUGACAAUGUCAGCCGCUGACUAUGUUUAUCUUUUUGAUAAUCAGGCCAUGCUUGCUUUAAUUGCUGUGACUUUUGGUGUGACAAAGGCAACUCAUUCCUGGUGAGGCUAUCCAGGCUGCAAAAUGUAACUUAUAGUGGAUCUCGGGGGGGGGGGGGCAGCAACUUUAUUGAUUGGUUUUUGUUUGUAAGGAUGUCUCUUUUUUUCAAUCUGUAUAGCAAAUAUUGACUUGGGUGGUUCUUAUAUUGAACGUACACUUCCUUUAUUAAUGUUUGUGGUACUUCUUGGUAUGCUCCAGCAGUAAAUGUGAUGUGUAUUUUUGAAACUUCCCCAACAGAAACUAAAUUGGAUGUGUGUUCAGUCUGUAGAAUUUGGCUGCUCCAUUCGGAAGACAUUACAAUUUCAAACACUGUUG